UGUUUUCCCUCUCAGUCGUGCAGAGGAACGGAGAGAUAGAGAAGAGGGGGCACCACACCUAACCCAACCCACUGCCAAGCACCACCAUUGCCGAUGACAACGACGGAGAAGAUGCCUCCACCACCGCCGACCACCACCGCCGUACGCCGACGAGUUUCGAAUCAAAAUUACUAGUAUCGAUCUCAAAGGUCUCGACCGCCACUGCCACCGCCACCGUACACCGACGAAGGUCAGUCUUUCGAUCAUUCUCGAAUGCUAGUAUUGAUUGAACUAGGGUUCCAAUUUCAAUUCGUAGAUAUUGGGGUUUUUGCAAAAAAAAAUUAGGGUUCCAAUUGCGGAUCAAAAGGUUAGCCGAAUAAUUGUAACUAUAUCUUAAUCAUUGGUUUCCAGGUAUGUUUGGGAAUCAAAGGCUGAUGGCGCAUUUUUUGAGGAUACAUGGAAUGAAAAACUUCGGCAUAGAAUUGAAAUCAAAUUGUAUCUCAGAGAGGAAGCAAGGGAAUAUUUGGAGGAGAGCAAAUUGAAGCUGGGAAAUAUUUGGAGGAGAGUAAUACAUACAUUGCAUUAUGGCCAUGCUGUAAACUGCUAAAUUCAUAAACCUGCAUUGGAAUCUGCUGUUGACUUUCCUCUGCUCAUUCUGCCAAUAAUUCUUAUACUGGAAUAUGCAAUUUGCUGCUUUCUUUGUUUACUGUGGCUGUUUGAGAAGAGCCUAAGGGUGAAGCAACAUGCUUAUUAUGCUGAAAACUGAAGAUCAGAAUCUUGCAAUUGGGUGCUUUUUGCAUCAAGAUCAUCAAAACUGCUACUGUCCCAGCAAGAGGGAGAGCACAAAGCAGUUCCAUAACUCCAAAAUCAAGUUCCCCUUGGUGUAUGGAGCAUCCAGCCAAGAAGAGAUGCUAGUGAUUGGGAUUUUUUUUAUUUUGCUUGUAAUAUAGCUUAGGGUAGACGAUGAUGAUGAUGUUUGGCUCAUGCCUCUUUUGUAAAACAUUAUGUAUUUUUUUCAUUGGAGAGCAAUCUAGCUCUUUUUGCUAUCACAUGGUUUGGAUAUAUUGUUCAAAUGCUCAAAUUUGUUGAUA